GAUGAAGAACGCAGCGAAAUGCGAUACGUAAUGUGAAUUGCAGAAUUCAGUGAAUCAUCGAGUCUUUGAACGCACAUUGCGCCCCCUGGUAUUCCGGGGGGCAUGCCUGUCCGAGCGUCAUUGCUGCCCUCAAGCACGGCUUGUGUGUUGGGCCUCCGUCCUCCUCGCGGGGGACGGGCCCGAAAGGCAGCGGCGGCACCGCGUCCGGUCCUCGAGCGUAUGGGGCUUCGUCACCCGCUCUUGUAGGCCCGGCCGGCGCUUGCCGACACAUCAAUCUUUUUUCCAGGUUGACCUCGGAUCAGGUAGGGAUACCCGCUGAACUUAAGCAUAUCAAUAAGCGGAGGA
rnacentral:misc_RNA from 1 species